ensembl:lincRNA
GCAUGCCACGCCGGCCCCCGCCGGUCCCGCUGCCGCAUUAACUCCUGCGUGUCCGGAGCCCCCGCCGCCUGACGCGCGCGGCCCAGAGGAGGGAGUUGGGUGGGGCCGAUGCUGGAGCCUGAGCUCUCCUUGUCGUUGGACCCCGGCUUGGCUGAGACAGCGAGGAGGGGGCCCUGCGCCCGAGCUGAGAGGCGGACUGGGCGACUCUGCUCAUUCUCCUUCUGACCGUCUUGCAGAGGCCAGGAGGACAGGAGGGAAAUGCGGCCGCUGUUAGCGGAUCGCUAGGACUCGUGGGCACCAGCGUGUAUCCGAGACCACAUUUUUGCUUGGCGGUGCUAUCCUCGAAAGUUUACAGUGGACUAGGGAAGGUGCGGGUGGGUUCGGGUUAGAAUUUGUCCACGGACACAAGCCCCUGUCACCCCAGUGAAUGGAGUGGAAUAGCCCCUGGGUUCUCGUGCCUCUCCAGCAUUCUGGAAGAGCCCGUCCUGUGCUGGGUAAAGAUCGGUCUCUCCAGACUGAGGGACGGAGGUGCAGAGUGUGUGAGGAAGCAGCUCAUCUACAGGCAGUUUGAGGCCUCUGGCUGCUCUAGAGCAGGAGCUCCCAGGAUCCACAGAUACCCCCGGAACACACAGAACCAGAAAGGCAGGGGGACCUACACUGCAGAGACAGAGCUGUGUGGAACGGCAGGGAGUCCCCAAAUUUAUCUUGGAUUAUAUCCUGGAGGAGGCAUUGCGGAAAGGCUCUCUGGAGAGGACAUUCUUCAGGAGGUACCGCAAGUCAGGAAGAAUGCUAGGCCUCCGAAGGCGCUUGUCCCAGUUCCCAGGAAUCCUCCAUCCGGCCUGUGCUCCUCCUCCUGUCGCCCACAGCCUCUCGCGAGUACUUUGUCCCUGAGUGGUCAUCACCAGUUUCCCUGCUACGCCGAUGGUUUUGUGAUGCAAUUUGUUUCAUUAUUACUUUUGUUCCGGUUUCACGUAAACGUAGGCAUGAACACUUAAUCAUGGUGUUCCAGGUACCGUGUAUCUUUCCAGGAGGCAUUGCCAAACCUGGGUUUUGUUUUGUUUUGUUUUGUCCGAAAGCCCUCAAAUAAGAUGCACAUGAGGUAUAUCCAUGUUGAGAAUAAAAUAUUUUCUCAAAUCCAGACUUUAUACUUUGUAUGGCUUCUGUGGACUGCCUGCUUUUCCAACCAGACUUUAUUCAUUCCUGAACAUUUCAUUUCCAAAAUGGUUCACAGGGCAAGGAAACAGGGUCUCUGUGUCUCCUAAUCCUGUCCUCCUUUCUUUGCACUGUUUCUGACCCCUAUAUUUUCCUUCUUAUUUUCUCUCAGAAGAGAAGAGAUCAUUUCCCUCUGGUCUUACUUCCAAUAUCUGAAUUAAUUCCAACAUAAAUCUUAGGGCUUGUAGGGUUCUCCACAGAUCAUUCCUGAGAUUUGUCCCAGCAGCUCCCACCUAGGUCUGUUUUUGCCUUCUAUCUUCAGGGUUUCUUUGGGGGUGGGGGGGUCCCAGGGAUCGAACUCCGCUCCUUGUGUUUGUGAGACAGGCGGUGGAACCACUGAGCUAAAUCCCCGGCCCCUUAUUUUUGCCUUCUAAAUUGGUAUUUCAGAAACACUUUAGGGGUGUGAGUAGGUGACAGAUUCCUGAGCGUGGUGCCCCCCCCCAUGAGGCUCAAGCUACAUUGUUUCAAAAGCAGAUACUUUGUGUCAACUGACCAAAUUGUGGAAACACCAUGGUAGAUAUCGUAGCUCCUGCUUCUAUUGAGCCUGUCCAUCUGGCCUUCCCUAUUCCCAGCAUCUUCACCUUCCACAAAGUGGGCGGUCUUUUUCUUCACUCCACCCUCAUGGAGGAGAUAAUUUGAAGGGCCGCAGGAAGUUAUUUGCCUCUCUGAAGCGUUUUCCAACAGUAUAGAUCGCAUGAAUCAGAUCUCCCGUGCAGAUGAUGCCACAUUUACCAAGAGAUCGUGCAAUCGGCGAAGGAAACUUGCUUCUUAUGUAUAUGGCCAUAGCCACGCUUGUACAUUAGCACAUUUA